AUACGUAAUUUUUUCUUUCAUAUUUUUUAUUUUAUGGAAUCAAUGCAGCCCUAAUUCAUCUUUGGCUAUUCGUUCUUUGAAUAGCUUAUUUGCACUAUUUCAUGUUCUAAGCACAUAAGAAUUGCAUUGGACUUUCCAGGAAAGCAUGCAAUGUGAACUCUUCCUUUUUCUUGCUUAAUAUUUCGUAAGUGGUAAGACUAACCCGAGCUUAUUUGCUCUUGCAGACGUCCCUUACAACUGACCCCUUACAAAUUGAAGUGCGAUAAGGAACAUCUUAAUUCUAGGUAAAUUGGCGAUUUUGAAUUUUGAUAAUUGGAUACUGUAAAUUUGCUACUAAGUGGUAGACUAAGCUGAGCUGAUUUGCUCUUGCAGACGUCCCUUACAACUGACCCCGUACAAAUUGAAGUGCGAUAAGGAACAUCUUAAUUCCAGGUAAUUUGGC
rnacentral:lncRNA from 1 species